CCGGGCGCUGCAGCCGUCACGAUUGGAAGAGACGGGCGACGGAGCGCCACCGCCAGAAGAUGCACUAAUGUCUCCUGCCAUCGAUUAUCCAGAUCAAAUCCAAUCGAUCACACAAGAGAGGCAGAACCUGUAAAUUGACGACAGAGUGGAGAAUGCAAAAACAAUGGGGGUUUGGAAAGGAAACCUGAACUGCGAGGUCAAGGAAGAGAAGGGAGAGAAUGGGGAGGGAAGGGCCGCCUUCCGGAGUGAUUCACAGCCGUUCCCCCUCAGUCCUGAUGCCUCCUACAAACUGAAGAAAUGAUAGGAUCCA
rnacentral:lncRNA from 1 species